GACGAACGCUGGCGGCGUGGAUUAGGCAUGCAAGUCGAACGGUAUCAUCCUUUCGGGGGUGAGAGAGUGGCGAACUGGUGAGUAACACGUAGGUUAUCUACCCUCAAGACGGGGACAACCCAGGGAAACUUGGGCUAAUACCGGAUGUGAGCAACUUUUAGUUGUUUGAAAGGUGGCGUAAGCUGUCGCUUGGGGAUGAGCCUGCGUCCUAUUAGUUAGUUGGUGAGGUAACGGCUCACCUAGGCAAUGAUAGGUAGGCGGCCUUAACGGGUGGUCACCCACACUGGGAUUGAGAUACGGCCCAGACUCCUACGGGAGGCAGCAGUCGAGAAUAGUCUACAAUGGUCGGAAGACUGAUAGUGCGACGCCGCGUGAACGAUGAAUCCCUUCGGGGUGUAAAGUUCUUUUAUAUGUGAGCAGUGCUUCUUAUAUUAACAGUAUGGGGAGAGAGAUAUUAGCAUAUGAAUAAGCAACGGCUAACUCCGUGCCAGCAGCCGCGGU
rnacentral:rRNA from 1 species